GACCAAUGCUGGCGGCGUGCUUAACACAUGCAAGUCGAACGGAAAGGCCCUUUCGGGGGUACUCGAGUGGCGAACGGGUGAGUAACACGUGGGUGAUCUGCCCUGCACUUUGGGAUAAGCCUGGGAAACUGGGUCUAAUACCGAAUACACCCUGCUGGUCGCAUGGCCUGGUGGGGGAAAGCUUUUGCGGUGUGGGAUGGGCCCGCGGCCUAUCAGCUUGUUGGUGGGGUGAUGGCCUACCAAGGCGACGACGGGUAGCCGGCCUGAGAGGGUGUCCGGCCACACUGGGACUGGGAUACGGCCCAGACUCCUACGGGAGGCAGCAGUGGGGAAUAUUGCACAAUGGGCGCAAGCCUGAUGCAGCGACGCCGCGUGAGGGAUGACGGCCUUCGGGUUGUAAACCUCUUUCAGUACCGACGAAGCGCAAGUGACGGUAGGUACAGAAGAAGCACCGGCCAACUACGUGCCAGCAGCCGCGGUAAUACGUAGGGUGCGAGCGUUGUCCGGAAUUACUGGGCGUAAAGAGCUCGUAGGUGGUUUGUCGCGUUGUUCGUGAAAACUCACAGCUUAACUGUGGGCGUGCGGGCGGUACGGGCAGACUGGAGUACUGCAGGGGAGACUGGAAUUCCUGGUGUAGCGGUGGAAUGCGCAGAUAUCAGGAGGAACACCGGUGGCGAAGGCGGGUCUCUGGGCAGUAACUGACGCUGAGGAGCGAAAGCGUGGGGAGCGAACAGGAUUAGAUACCCUGGUAGUCCACGCCGUAAACGGUGGGUACUAGGUGUGGGUUUCCUUCCUUGGGAUCCGUGCCGUAGCUAACGCAUUAAGUACCCCGCCUGGGGAGUACGGCCGCAAGGCUAAAACUCAAAGGAAUUGACGGGGGCCCGCACAAGCGGCGGAGCAUGUGGAUUAAUUCGAUGCAACGCGAAGAACCUUACCUGGGUUUGACAUGCACAGGACGCCGGCAGAGAUGUCGGUUCCCUUGUGGCCUGUGUGCAGGUGGUGCAUGGCUGUCGUCAGCUCGUGUCGUGAGAUGUUGGGUUAAGUCCCGCAACGAGCGCAACCCUUGUCUCAUGUUGCCAGCACGUCAUGGUGGGGACUCGUGAGAGACUGCCGGGGUCAACUCGGAGGAAGGUGGGGAUGACGUCAAGUCAUCAUGCCCCUUAUGUCCAGGGCUUCACACAUGCUACAAUGGCCGGUACAAAGGGCUGCGAUGCCGUGAGGUGGAGCGAAUCCUUUCAAAGCCGGUCUCAGUUCGGAUCGGGGUCUGCAACUCGACCCCGUGAAGUCGGAGUCGCUAGUAAUCGCAGAUCAGCAACGCUGCGGUGAAUACGUUCCCGGGCCU
rnacentral:rRNA from 1 species